GUUGCACCUACCAAUUGAAUGGUCCGGUGAAGCCUCGGGAUCGCAGUCGGUUUGCUUCAUUGUGAAUGGAUUGCAAGAACUUGUCUAAACCUUAUCAUUUAGAGGAAGGUG
rnacentral:rRNA from 1 species